rnacentral:rRNA from 1 species
GACGAACGCUGGCGGCGUGCCUAAUACAUGCAAGUAGAACGCACAGUUUAUACCGUAGCUUGCUACACCAUAGACUGUGAGUUGCGAACGGGUGAGUAACGCGUAGGUAACCUGCCUGGUAGCGGGGGAUAACUAUUGGAAACGAUAGCUAAUACCGCAUAAUAUUGAUUAUUGCAUGAUAAUUGAUUGAAAGAUGCUAUUGCAUCACUACCAGAUGGACCUGCGUUGUAUUAGCUAGUAGGUGAGGUAACGGCUCACCUAGGCGACGAUACAUAGCCGACCUGAGAGCGUGAUCGGCCACACUGGGACUGAGACACGGCCCAGACUCCUACGGGAGGCAGCAGUAGGGAAUCUUCGGCAAUGGACGAAAGUCUGACCGAGCAACGCCGCGUGAGUGAAGAAGGUUUUCGGAUCGUAAAGCUCUGUUGUAAGUGAAGAACGGGUGUGAGAGUGGAAAGUUCACACUGGGACGGUAUCUUACCAGAAAGGGACGGCAAACUACGU